UACGUAGGGGGCUAGCGUUGUCCGGAAUCAUUGGGCGUAAAGCGCGUGUAGGCGGCCCGGUAAGUCCGCUGUGAAAGUCGGGGGCUCAACCCUCGGAUGCCGGUGGAUACUGUCGGGCUUGAGUACGGAAGAGGCGAGUGGAAUUCCUGGUGUAGCGGUGAAAUGCGUAGAUAUCCGGAGGAACACCGGUGGCGAAGGCGGCUUCCUGGACCGAUACUGACGCUGAGGCGCGAAAGCUAGGGGAGCAAACGGG
rnacentral:rRNA from 1 species